rnacentral:rRNA from 1 species
GACAGAGGGUGCAAACGUUGCUCGGAAUUACUGGGCGUAAAGGGCGUGUAGGCGGGAAGGCAAGUCGGGCGUGAAAGCCCCAGGCUCAACCUGGGAACUGCACUCGAAACUGCCUUUCUUGAGUGCCGGAGAGGAAAGCGGAAUUCCUGGUGUAGAGGUGAAAUUCGUAGAUAUCAGGAGGAACACCAGUGGCGAAGGCGGCGAUCUGGGGAAGAGUACUGACGCUGGAGGUGCGAAAGCGUGGGGAGCAAA